rnacentral:lncRNA from 1 species
UUUUUUAGAUGAACGACGUUACUACGCAAUCUACCGGAUGCUCGACCUUUGGAGACUUACUCGCCUGUAGUAGAAGGAGUUAACGUGUUCUUAGGAGAAGAAAAAUCAAGGUUGUGUUUUUUAGAUGAACGACGUUACUACGCAAUCUACCGGAUGCUCGACCUUUGGAGACUUACUCGCCUGUAGUAGAAGGAGUUAACGUGUUCUUAGGAGAAGAAAAAUCAAUGAGUUUGUUUUUAUUUUAGGAAUGCUCAUGCAAAAAGGAAGUCCUAGAUGAAGGAACAGUGCUACCUUAAUUGAUAUGCAAACGAGAGACUAUACGAAGCCUAGCAAUCCUAC